GAUGAACGCUGGCGGCGUGCCUAAUACAUGCAAGUCGAGCGAACAGACGAGGAGCUUGCUCCUCUGACGUUAGCGGCGGACGGGUGAGUAACACGUGGAUAACCUACCUAUAAGACUGGGAUAACUUCGGGAAACCGGAGCUAAUACCGGAUAAUAUAUUGAACCGCAUGGUUCCAUAGUGAAAGACGGUUUUGCUGUCACUUAUAGAUGGAUCCGCGCCGCAUUCGCUAGUUGGUAAGGUAACGGCUUACCAAGGCAACGAUGCGUAGCCGACCUGAGAGGGUGAUCCGCCACACUGGAACUGAGCCACGGUCCAGACUCCUACGGGAGGCAGCAGUCGGGAAUCUUCCGCAAUGGGCGAAAGCCUGACGGAGCAACGCCGCGUGAGUGAUGAAGGUCUUCGGAUCGUAAAACUCUGUUAUUAGGGAGGAACAAAUGUGUAAGUAACUAUGCACGUCUUGACGGUACCGAAUCAGAAAGCCACGGCUAACUACGUG
rnacentral:rRNA from 1 species